GGACGGGAGGAAACCUUUGGGACGGUUUCCAUGAAUUGGUCCACCCCCCAAUCUCGGACGAGGCGUCACCGGGGACCCGACGGUCGGCGC
rfam:Aliiroseovarius crassostreae strain CV919-312 Joined_contig_5, whole genome shotgun sequence.